GAGACCCAGCCGGUGGCCCAUGCGCUCAUCCAGGCUGUGGAAGGCCUGGCCAUGAGUCAAGGCUUCUGGGACCUUGCAGGGGAGCAGUGAGCAUCCAGUGCCCCGUGUGUCACAGGCCCCAGAGGGGUGCUGGAUGUCUGAGAUGGGCUCGCAGCGGAGGCGAGGCGUGAACACAGCCAUGUCCUUUCUCCACUGCUGGAUGCUGUAGGGAGCAGAGCAUAACGUGCUCCCUCUCCCGUGCCCUUGGUGCCCGCCCGCCCCGCUAACACUGGGGCCUCUGCCCUCUGGGUGAACAGUCCCACAAAGCCCACGGUCCCAGCAGGAAAGGGCCCUGGCCCCUGACUCUGCCCUCUGCCCGGGACCCUGCCCUGCUCUGAAGGUGGCAUCCAUCAGGCCAGGCCCCGCUGGCACAAAGGACCCCAGGAAAGAGCCUGCAGUCCAGUCUUCAGACCCGCUCAGCCGGAGCCGGGAAUGCUGUGAGGACGACUUCGCGAGUCAGAACACGGUGGCUUCAGAGAGGUUUGUCGCCCUCAGAUGGGCCUUCCCUGCAUGGAGCCCCGGCCACACUGCUGGUUCUCAGAUCUCGCGGGGGUGAUUGCAGAGCAGUGUUAAAGCCGGCUGCCAGGCAUCUGCACCUGCAAGUUAAAUGCUUGCUGGUGGCGUUGUUAAGGGGAUGGUGCAUCGCAGCACAAAUUACAGGGGUGCCUGGGCGGCCACCUGCACGGUCACUCUGGGCCUGUGACGAGCUGGGGCGGCGGCCCUGCCUCUCAGCCCUGAUGCAGCCUCCGCCAUUCUGCUGAGGUUAUUAGCCCCACCUUUUAAAUGCUGACACUGUUUUCUUUCUGGAAUGCAAGGCCUCUGCCGAUUCAACUAAAACCCUGUCUCACUCCGCCCCUUUGAAUGUGGAACCAAAAGCCCCCACCUGCUCGCCCUCCCGCCCUCCCGGCGCCCCUCGGCCUCCUGUGGGCCCCUCCUCCUCCACGUCCUCCCUUGUUUUUAUCUGUCUCCGCUGAUGUGUGCAGCUGUUUUUCAGUUACCUGAGGUGAAAGUACCCCCUCUUUGUAAGAAGCUCAGUGGCUGCAGAAGCCUCUCAGACUUUCCUAGAUCUGCUGUGUUUUACACACGAGCAUGUGCAGAGAUAAAAAUAGUUUAGGUUUUGUUUAUAUUUUUAUACAAUGAGUUUGUGUCAUGCAAACUGUUUGCCACUUGCUCUUCUUUUUUUUUAAGCUUCACUCUACUUGAGAGCUGCCAAAUUGCAGCAUGUGUGACGCAGCCUGGUCUGUGAAAUUGUGUGGCUGCCGGUAGGCGUUGGCAUUGCCCUGGGUCAUCCGCAGAGCUGCCAGGGCUGCAGUGAACCUGUUCACACACUUUUCUGGGCACCCAGGAAGGGGUUUUCCAGAAGAGAACUGGAAAGGGAGGACCAGGCAAUGGGCUUUUCAUAAACUUUUAAAAUUUCCGUUUUACCCAGCAGUCGUGAUACACGCCCUGAGCCCGGGUCAUCACCAUCAAUCGUUACUCUUCCCUUUGUGAAGCAGUUGAAAGCCAGUCGUGCCACAGCCAGAAAUGAUGUCCCGUCACCACCCCGUCCUUCAUGAUGCACCAUAGAGCCAUGAAUUUUUCUUCUGCCGUCGCAGUGCCAUCCUCUCUCCUAAAACAUUAACCACAAAUAUUUUGUCAUCCGGUGACCAGUCUCCCUGAUGUCUCCCUGAUUGCCUCAAAUAUGUCUUUUAACCAGUGGUUUGUUGGAAGCAUGAUAUGAAAAUUAGGCCCACACCUCACCUUUUAUUGUCAUGUCUGAUUAUCAGCUGAGAGCAGCCCCCUUCCCAUGGUGUGUGUGUGUGUGUGUGUGUGUGUGUGUGUGUGUGUGUGACCCGUGGAAGCUGGUGGGUCUCCAUCUGUCUGUGCUGGGAAAUACCCUGCCUGCUGGAGUCACUUCAUCUUGCUUUCUUCCCACUGCUAGGAUCUAUCAAUUUGCUUUGAAGAAUUAAUUAGAUGCAAAUUCAGGGAAUUCCAGUUGUAGCUCAUUGGGUUAAGAACCCGACUAGUAGCCACAAGGAUGCGGGUUUGAUCCCUGGUCUCACUUGGUUGGUUAAACAUCUGUCAUUGCUGCAAGCUGCGGUGUAGGGUGCAUAUGUGGCUUGCACCAGUGUUUCUGUAGCUAUGGUGUAGGCCUGCAGCUGCAGCUCCGAUUCCACCUCUAGCCUGGGAACUUCCGUCUGCUGCGGGUGUGGCCUUAAAAAGAAAAAGAAAAAAAAAA
ensembl:lncRNA